AGGAACGGAAAGGCGUUUGUGUAUUUACACCAAAAUUCUGAUCCCUGGUUAGUUGUAUAGCGUUUCGUAUAUCUAUUGUGAUGGGAGAUUCAACAGCCUGCAUUUUUUAUUGGCGUUUUGGUUCUUCUUGGCGCCUUAUGAUCACGUCAUCACUCGGCUUCCUUCAGUCUGCUUUUCUUUUGGCUGAGAGGAGGUAAGCACAGCUUCGUGCUGGUAAUAAAAUACUUAAUUAAAAUUAUUAAGACUGUCUAAUUAUCAAUAGAAUAUGGCGUGACAUAUAUAGUACUACUUGAAAAACACUACAGCAGUUGUUUUAUUCUUCUAAACCUUUGAUAAAGUUGUUAUUUAAUUUAUUUUGAACAACGUGGCUUUUGCUUGCCAGAUAAUGAUACAGCCUUCCACGUGUGAUACACAUUGUUCACUGUAUUCCUUUUUCUAAUAGGGAAUAGAGGACCAGAAACACGUGGAAGCUGAUGUUUUUCUGUUCUGUUUUAAUUAUAUUUUGCAGGUAUGUUGAACUCCGUUGUUAUGAAUAGAAGCGAAAGCUAGUUUAAACUGCUAGUUAUUGUAUUUUAAUUUUAUUAUCGCAGUAAUACUCGUUAGAAUGGCUGAUUCAUGAGUCAUAUUACGCGUAUGUUUUGUUCCACAUUGUUAUGGUAACUAUUUUGUGUAUUUUUGAUUACUGACGAUCUGAAAAAUGUAGAAGAAACGGUAGAUCGUAUCUUGAAAUAUAUACAGUAUAGGUUUAAGCUGUAACAUAGGAAAAAAACGUGUUUUGUGUAAAGUUUCAGUCUGCUUUUCUUUUGGCUGAGAGGAGGGAAUAGAGGACCAGAAACACGUGGAAGCUGAUGUUUUUCUGUUCUGUUUUAAUUAUAUUUUGCAGUUCUGAACAAGAUUAAAGAACUUAUUAUCAGCAUUGCACUGCCUUAGUGUCCUUCACUGAACAACACACCAUAGCUGGCCUGACAGGCAGGGAAAUCUUUUGCACACAACAACACAACGCAGAGAAAUACACGAGUGGUAGCCAGCGCAGGACAGAAUUGUGAAAUGAGGAGCGCCCCGGCUACAUUGGUGCCGUGACUCGGAUUCAUCAGCAGUGGAUCGACACCAGUUCGGUCGCCGAAGGUUGCUGCAUCCUACUUCUGGUCAGAGUUAGAGAUGGUCAGGGAAUAGAGGACCAGAAACACGUGGAAGCUGAUGUUUUUCUGUUCUGUUUUAAUUAUAUUUUGCAGGUAUGUUGAACUCCGUUGUUAUGAAUAGAAGCGAAAGCUAGUUUAAACUGCUAGUUAUUGUAUUUUAAUUUUAUUAUCGCAGUAAUACUCGUUAGAAUGGCUGAUUCAUGAGUCAUAUUACGCGUAUGUUUUGUUCCACAUUGUUAUGGUAACUAUUUUGUGUAUUUUUGAUUACUGACGAUCUGAAAAAUGUAGAAGAAACGGUAGAUCGUAUCUUGAAAUAUAUACAGUAUAGGUUUAAGCUGUAACAUAGGAAAAAAACGUGUUUUGUGUAAAGUUUCAGUCUGCUUUUCUUUUGGCUGAGAGGAGGGAAUAGAGGACCAGAAACACGUGGAAGCUGAUGUUUUUCUGUUCUGUUUUAAUUAUAUUUUGCAGUUCUGAACAAGAUUAAAGAACUUAUUAUCAGCA